rnacentral:lncRNA from 10 species
AUGAAAGAGACAAUCAUGAACUAGGAAAAACCCGCCAAACUUCAGGCACAACCGUGCAUUGGUGGGAAAGAAAUUGGUUGUAGAAAGAAGAAGGUGGUUCACAGAACAGCUACAGCAGAUGAUUAAAAAGUUAGGGGCAAACAAUAUCUGGUAUUGAAGAGGUGAAUACAUUUACAAGUUAAAGUAGAUCAAGGAACAGUGAUCCGCUUUAACAAUCCUAAAGUUCAGGCAUCUUUGGCAGCAAACACUUCUUUCACCAUUGCAGGCCAUGCUGAGACACAGCAGCUGAUGGAAACGCUACCCAGCAUCUUAAGCCGGUGAGAUGCAGACAGUCUGGCUAGUUUGGGAAGAUGGGCUGAAGCUCUGCCCAAACAGUCUGUGGAUGAAAAAGCACCAUUUGCUACUGGAGAGGAUGAUGAUGAAGUUCCAGCUCUUGCAGAGAAUUUUGAUGAGGCUUCCAAGAAUGAGGCAAACCG